UACGUAGGGUGCGAGCGUUAAUCGGAAUUACUGGGCGUAAAGCGUGCGCAGCGGCGCGUUAAGAAAGGGGUGAAAGCCCCGAGCUUAACUUGGGAAUUGCGCUUGUGACUGGCGUGCUGGAGUGUGGCAGAGGGAGGUGGAAUUCCACGUGUAGCAGUGAAAUGCGUAGAGAUGUGGAGGAACACCGGUGGCGAAGGCAGCCUCCUGGGCCAGCACUGACGCUCAUGCACGAAAGCGUGGGGAGCAAACAGG
rnacentral:rRNA from 1 species